rnacentral:snoRNA from 1 species
UGGCGGUGAUGACAAUCUUAGGACACCUUUGGAACAACCAUGAUAAAACUAUUCAUUUCUCUGAGCCAU